rfam:Gossypium arboreum cultivar AKA8401 contig_43818_3, whole genome shotgun sequence.
AUUCCAUGAUGCAGGCAUCUUCGUAAAGUUCUUUAAACCUUUCCUGUGCUUCAUACAAGGACUUGUCAUCCAUCUGUUGGAAUGCAAUGAUCUCAUUUCUUAACUU